rnacentral:rRNA from 1 species
AGAUUGAACGCUGGCGGCAGGCCUAACACAUGCAAGUCGAGCGGUAGAGAGGUGCUUGCACCUCUUGAGAGCGGCGGACGGGUGAGUAAUGCCUAGGAAUCUGCCUAGUGGUGGGGGAUAACGUUCGGAAACGGACGCUAAUACCGCAUACGUCCUACGGGAGAAAGCGGGGGACCUUCGGGCCUCGCGCCAUUAGAUGAGCCUAGGUCGGAUUAGCUAGUUGGUGAGGUAAUGGCUCACCAAGGCGACGAUCCGUAACUGGUCUGAGAGGAUGAUCAGUCACACUGGAACUGAGACACGGCCCAGACU